ensembl:lncRNA
UCUCUCUCUUUCUGUCUCUCUCUCGCUCUCUCUCUCUCUCUCUCUCUUUAUCUCUCCCUGUCACUCUCUGUCUCUCACUCUAACUCAUUGUCUGUCUCUCUCUCCCUCUCCCCCUCUCUCUCUCCUCUCUCUCUUUGUCUCUGUCUCUCUCGCUCUGUCUCUCUCUCUCUGAGAGCCAGGUUUUCCUGUGUCUCUGUCUUUCACUCUCGCUCUCUCUCUCACUCUCUCUCGUGGACUCUCUCGCGGACUUUCUCUCUCGCAGACUUUCUCUCUCGCCGUCUCUCUCUCUCGCCGUCUCUCUCUCUCGCCGUCUCUCUCUCUCUCGCGGUCUCUCUCUCUCGCGGUCUCUCUCUCUCGCGGUCUCUCUCUCUCUCUCGCAGUCUCUCUCUCUCUCUCAGUCUCUCUCUCUCUCUCACUCUCUCUCUCUCUCGCUGUCUCUCUCUCUCGCUGUCUCUCUCUCUCUCUCGCUGUCUCUCUCUCUCUC